rnacentral:sRNA from 1 species
GGCCGGUCUUGUCGUCGGGAGCACCGUCGAUCGCGGUCUGCGCCUGUUGGUACGAGAGCUUGGCGGCGCUUCGCAUCAUGAUGCGGUGAAACGUAUGCCCGGCCUUGCGGCCUUCCUUGGAAAAGCGCAUCCGGACCGCAAGCGCCGGGCGGUCGACGC